CCUACGGGCGGCAGCAGUGAGGAAUAUUGGUCAAUGGCCGCGAGGCUGAACCAGCCAAGCCGCGUGAGGGAAGAAUGUCCUAUGGAUUGUAAACCUCUUUUGUCAGGGAGCAAAGUCACCCACGUGUGGGUGUUGGAGAGUACCUGAAGAAAAAGCAUCGGCUAACUCCGUGCCAGCAGCCGCGGUAAUACGGAGGAUGCGAGCGUUAUCCGGAUUUAUUGGGUUUAAAGGGUGCGUAGGCGGGUUAUCAAGUUAGCGGUAAAAUCGUGGGGUUCAACUCCGUCCAGCCGUUGAAACUGAUGGUCUAGAGUGGGCUAGAGGUAUGCGGAAUGUGUGGUGUAGCGGUGAAAUGCAUAGAGAUCACGCAGAACUCCGAUUGCGAAGGCAGCAUACCGGCGCCCGACUGACGCUGAAGCACGAAAGCGUGGGUAUCGAACAGGAUUAGAUACCCGAGUAGUC
rnacentral:rRNA from 1 species